UGAGAAUUAUAGUACCAACCUCAUAGGGAUGUUGUGAGGAUUAAAUUAGUUAACUUUCUUUUUUACAAAAGAGUAUGUAGUUAGUAGUACCUGUAGCAUAGUAAGUGUAAGCACUGUUAUCACUGAAGAAUCCUGUUGGCUGUUCCUACAGGACCUCACAAGGUUAAAGCUAAUUAGGAUUUGCUGAAGGAAGCAACAGGGCUUGGAGCCCUCUGAUCUUCCGGAGAGGCCCUGCCCUCAUUUGUCUUCCGCACUGAAUAUCCUUGACUCUAUCUUCCUCUGUUUGGACGCCUCAGCUUCACUGGGAGCCAGGUGCAGCCAUCCUACAAUCAGAUGUAAACAGUCUCUCCUCUCUUUGUGCAG
ensembl:lncRNA